AAUUAUAUAAAAAACAAAAAACGAAUUUCGGAAAUUAAAAAAAAAAAAAAAAGGAAUUUCAACAGCAAAAGAUGAACAAAGCAAAGGAUAACACACAUGACUUGACGAUAUAGGCAAAAUUAUGCCAUCCUUCGUCA